rnacentral:tRNA from 1 species
AUUUAUAUAGUAUAAAUAAUAUAUAUGACUUCCAAUUAUAAGAUCUAUAACAUAUAGUAUAAAUA